GGAAUAUAAGAAUCUGUCUCUUAACUUUUAACUAAAAAAGCUAAGAACCGACUCUUAGAUAAGAGUUUUAAGAGCCGGUUCUUAGCUUUUUUAGUUAAAAGUUAAGAAACGGGUUCUUAUAUUCC
rfam:Brassica oleracea var. oleracea cultivar TO1000 chromosome C3, whole genome shotgun sequence